AACAAGGUUUCCGUAGGUGAACUGCGGAAGGAUCAUU
rnacentral:rRNA from 1 species